UGGGGAAUAUUGCACAAUGGGCGAAAGCCUGAUGCAGCGACGCCGCGUGAGGGAUGAAGGCCUUCGGGUUGUAAACCUCUUUCAGUAGGGAAGAAGUUGGCCCUUUUUGGGGUUGGUGACGGUACCUGCAGAAGAAGCGCCGGCUAACUACGUGCCAGCAGCCGCGGUAAUACGUAGGGCGCAAGCGUUAUCCGGAAUUAUUGGGCGUAAAGAGCUCGUAGGCGGUUUGUCGCGUCUGUCGUGAAAGUCCGGGGCUUAACCCCGGAUCUGCGGUGGGUACGGGCAGACUAGAGUGCAGUAGGGGAGACUGGAAUUCCUGGUGUAGCGGUGAAAUGCGCAGAUAUCAGGAGGAACACCGAUGGCGAAGGCAGGUCUCUGGGCUGUAACUGACGCUGAGGAGCGAAAGCAUGGGGAGCGAACA
rnacentral:rRNA from 1 species